CAGAUAUCGAUAAGAAUUUCUUAUCUUUGUGAUAAGCAAUUCGUCAAUAAACCGUCAAAAAUAGAUUAAAAACUUUUAGUCAGCUUGUCUCAGUCAACUAUGGACAACGUGAGUAACAUAAAAUUGGGAAAAAGGAUUGGAUGCGGCAGCUAUGGAGUGGUUCACAAAGCAAUUUGGCAAGCUAAUGACCAACAAAAGAAAAUUGCAGUGAAAAUAAUUCAAGACAACAAUCAAGAUUCCGAAACAGAAAUUAUCAAUAAGCAGAGGAAUGUUUUGAACGAAAUUCGGAAUCUUAAACAGUUUAAUCAUAGGAACAUUGUCACGCUAUAUGGAGUCGCAAAAGAUCCUGACAAUAGCAUUUGUAUGCUUUUUGAGUUUGCAGAUUGUAGAUCACUCUACAAUUUUUUGCAUUGUUCGGAUAACGACGUCAGCUACCUUGACAAGAUAAAUUGGAUGGCGCAAUGUGCCAAGGGAAUGGAUUAUUUGCAUAGUAAUAAUACAGUACACCGGGAUCUGAAAACUCAGAACUUGUUGCUUUUCGAUAAGUAUCGAACAUUAAAAAUAGGGGAUUUGGAACAGUGAAACAACUUACUACGAUUAAUACGGACUUUAUUGGCACCAUUAGAUACAUGGCCUCAGAACUUACGUGUGACGUUUUUAGCUUUGGGAUUAUUUUCUGGGAGGUCAUGUCAAGCAAAGAAGCCUUUCGAGGACUUCAAGGACAUGCAUCCAUUGGCAAUUCAAAAGAAAAUUUUAGAAAGUGUGCUUCGAAUGUAAAUGACAAUGAAAUUUGCAAAAUUGCAUUUAAUCAAACAAAGUAUUGAAGAGUGCUGGGAUCAAGAUUCUGAGUUGAGGCCGAGUAUGAAGGAAGUGAUUUGUGAUAUUAAUGUUGAUAGCAAAAAUGAUAUAGGCUUACGCUUCGACGAUAUAGAAUUGGUUGAAAUGAUCGAACGAGGCAGCUAUUGUUACGUCUACAAAGCUCGUUGGCGAACUGAAAGUCACACCAAAUGCGUUGCAGCAAAAAUAAUACAAGAUGUUAUUUCAAAGAUAGACAUAGAAAAACAUAUCCUCGAUCUCGGUGGUGAACUGAAAGGUCUGUGCCACAAAAAUAUUGUAACAUUUUAUGAUGUCUGCAAGACACACGACAAUAGAAUAUGUAUGCUGAUUCAGUAUGCAGACUGUGGAACCCUCCAUGAUUUUUUGUAUCGAUCGAAACUAAAUUGGAUCAUGCAAUAUGCCAAGGUUUGUAAAUUUGUAUCCAAUGUGAGCUGAAUAAACCAUUUCAAAUGACUUAUAUGGUAUGGACUACUUGGAUAGCAAAGACAUGCUACAUUCAGCUCUAACAACACAAAAUUUGUUGCUGUGUAACAAAUA